rnacentral:rRNA from 1 species
AGUGAACGCUGGCGGUAGGCCUAACACAUGCAAGUCGAACGGCAGCACAGUAAGAGCUUGCUCUUACGGGUGGCGAGUGGCGGACGGGUGAGCAAUACAUCGGAAUCUACUCUUUCUUGGGGGAUAACGUAGGGAAACUUACGCUAACACCGCAUACGACCUACGGGUUAAAACAGGGGAUCUUCGGACCUUGCGCGACUGAAUCAGUCGAUGUCGGAUUAGCUAGUUGGCGGGGUAAAGGCCCACCAAGGCGACGAUCCGUAGCUGGUCUGAGAGGAUGAUCAGCCACACUGGAACUGAGACACGGUCCAGACUCCUACGGGAGGCAGCAGUGGGGAAUAUUGGACGAUGGGCGAGAGCCUGAUCCAGCCAUACCGCGUGGGUGAAGAAGGCCUUCGGGUUGUAAAGCCCUUUUGUUGGGAAAGAAAAGCAGCAGGUUAAUACCCCGAUGUUCUGACGGUACCCAAAGAAUAAGCACCGGCUAACUACGUG